GUCAGUUACGCGUAUACAAUGCUUCUCGUGUUGCAGGCGUGUAUAAGAAACGGUAAUCGCUUGCCAUCAGGUGAGCUGUACGCUUGUUUGCCAACCUAGUUAC